CUCCAGACUCCUACGGGAGGCAGCAGUGAGGAAUAUUGGUCAAUGGCCGCAGGGCUGAACCAGCCAAGUCGCGUGAGGGAUGACGGUCCUAUGGAUUGUAAACCUCUUUUGUCAGGGAGCAAAGGGCGCCACGUGUGGCGUUUUGCGAGUACCUGAAGAAAAAGCAUCGGCUAACUCCGUGCCAGCAGCCGCGGUAAUACGUAGGGGGCAAGCGUUAUCCGGAUUUACUGGGUGUAAAGGGAGCGCAGACGGCAGCGCAAGUCUGGAGUGAAAGCCCGGGGCCCAACCCCGGAACUGCUCUGGAAACUGUGCGGCUAGAGUACUGGAGGGGCAGGCGGAAUUCCUAGUGUAGCGGUGAAAUGCGUAGAUAUUAGGAGGAACACCAGUGGCGAAGGCGGCCUGCUGGACAGUAACUGACGUUGAUGCUCGAAAGCGUGGGGAGCAAACAGGAUUAGAUACCCUAGUA
rnacentral:rRNA from 1 species